rnacentral:lncRNA from 1 species
UAAAAUGGAUUACUAAAAUUAAACUAUACUAGAGCUAACGCUACCAAAUAGGAUAUACAUGAGUCCAACAGUUCAUAUACACAAUUUCUUGGAUGUUCAACCAAAAACUUAACAGACAAGUUAAUAAAAGAUCAUCCUGCAUUCUAAACAUACUAUUACUAUAUAAAAAUGAACCAGCUAGGCUAAAGAGCAUUACACUUUAUUAUUGAGUUUCGAAAUUCUAAGCAAGUAUUUGACAUUGGAGAUUUAAAGAAAAACCAUUAUUUAUUAAUGGAACUUCCAACAAUACAACUUUCAUCAUCUCAUCCUCAUCAACGAGGGAGUUUUAAGGAUAGGUACCUGGAAAUCAAAAGGUAAAAGAGGUGAGGAAUUAGCAACAAUUUCGAAUGUCAGCAACAGAAUUAAACAAGAAGCAACCAGGGGGAAAUCAACUCUUGAAACAAGGUCAAACCACCAUGAUUUAUAAAUAAUAUUCAGCAAUAAAAAACCACCCGAAAUUGAAACAAAGCUCUUGCAAACCAAACAAAAUCAAGUCAUUUUUAACCCCUUUGGAUAUUCAGAAUAUGGUUUUAGACUUAAAAGCUUCAGGAAUCAACUAGUUCUUAAUGGAAUAGCAAAUUCUUUGUAUUUUUAGCUGUAUGUAUUUGCUCUUUUUUUAGUUCUCCCAAAAUAUCUAGGCUCUAAAAUUUGACUUCUAAGGCAAGGAUGUAAUGCCUUUAUAAGAAAGCAAGUAGGGCAACUUCAGAGUUUAUUUUGAACUUUAGUCCCCUUACUUAAUUUUAUUUUUUGUCAAUUAGUCCCUCACUUUCUGACUUGCUACCCAUGUUAUACUACCCAAAAACCAGAAUUGAAAUUAAAACUCCACACUAGAAGCUUCUAGGGGCUUCCUAUUCUGUUACUGCAAGAUUCCCUAACUUAAACUACCUAUAUUACCCCUGAUCAACCCUAUAUUUACCCCUUAAAACCCACCGAUUCAACAUGCCAGGCCAACUGGGUUAUAGACCCCAAUAGUGCCUAUUUGGGCCUACUGCUUCUUGCAAACUAAUUGCAGCAUUUACGUGGCUAAAUUAAAGCAAAGAAUUUGGAACCAUUUCUAACAAAAAACAAACAGAACAAAGAACUGACCAAAUCCAAUCUAUAUAGCAAACUAAUUAUAGACCUAAACUCAUUAACUAUGCAAAUACUGAUAGUGAAAUAUUCGAGCAUACAGAAGCCUAAAGUGACUACAAAUUAAAAUCAAAUCAACAACAGACAAGAAAAGAAGAUGAAAUAAAAAAAAAACACAGAAGAAAAAUAUAAAUGAGAUGAGAGGAACAAGAAAAAAUACCUAUAAACUGGCCCAAACUAAUUCACGAACCAUGGCAGACUACUCCAAAUUCUUGAUUGAAACAACCUUUAAUCGUGUGUUUUCAUGUGAAAAUACACGACUAAGGCCUAUUAUAGUCAAAAUCAUCAAUAAACCCCCUACUUGGACUUUAUGGAUUUUAAAGUUUCUUUUGAAUCAAGAAAACACGAGACUAAGGCCUAUUAUAGUGAAAAUCAUCAACAAACCUCCUACUUGGACUUCAUGGAUUUUAAGGUUUCUUUCAAAAACGAGAUUUGAAGAACCUGGGGAUGAUUUGAGGGAAAUUAGCUAUAGAUUAGGAAAGAGGUGGUUGUGGGGAUGGUUUGGUGUUAUAUUUUGCUGGUGUUUGGGUGGUGGCGUCGCAAUCGAAGAAAACAAGGGUGGCGGCUAGGGUUUUGAAGUUUUGAGGGAUUCCGGUGGGAUUUGAGGGAAGAUACAUGGGCAUGAGGGGAGACGAGGGUGUUGUGGUGUGAAUUUGAGCAGGUUUGGCCGCUGGCUACUGCCGUGGGCGAUUUCCAGCGGGCGGCAGGCGGCGGUGGAAGGCGGAGACAACGAGGGAGUCUGAAGAGUUGAGAGAGAUGACN